CCAUGGGAACAUCCAGGCGCUUGUCAAACGAAGAAGUAUAAACAGCCAAAAACUGUAACUUAGCUUGCUAAAUUUACUUAAUUUAGCUUAAAUUAAGUGAGUUUAUUCUUUUUCCUCACAAUGGAGACGAGUGAAAAUAAAGGGAAGGAAGACUUGACGAUAAAAAUGACUGUCACCAGUGGAAAUAACCCGCAAGGAAAAAGGGAAGACAGCUUUCAGAGUUUUCUGCAGGUUGAAGUGGAUGGGAAUAUGCUGGGACAGUCAGACCAGAAAAGUUUCAACCCUGUCAAAGAGUGUGUUGACUACGACUUCACCUGCAGUUUCCACUGCGCCAAUGAUGCUCAGGCAUUCAGUGACAUUGCCAAGAAACAGAUCAUUCUGACAGUGACGGAGGUCCUGCCAGAGGACAAGAAAAGUAAAGUAAAGACAGCAGUGCUGGGCCAAGCUGUGGUUGACAUGCUGCCGCUGUUACAAGGUCAGUCUAGCUUCUUGUGCACAGCCCCACUAAAUCCAGUGACCAGCUCAACAGCCAAGACACAGAGCAGACAGAAUGAGGAGAGAGCAGUUAGUGCCAGACUGAAGUGGGCAGCCUGCCUUUUCAAGGAGAAGAGAAAGCUGACGAGCCUAGAUGUAUGUGUCAGUGUGUCAGAGCCGGUGCUGUCUGAAGCUGAACUCAUAGCCUCAAACCUGCUGAAGGUAACUGUGGAGACAGCCUACUCGGUGCCUGAGGCAUGGCUGCUGCAAACUGGUCCUGCACCGUGCACACACAUUGCUGCCAUGGAGGUCCCACUUACUGCUCAGCAAAAUCAGGUGCUGGUGUUCUCUGAAGGGCAGCUGAAGGUGGGGGGGCUGAGGGAAGAACAGGGGAGACAGAAGAAGAGGCCCCAUCAUGCCCUGCUGGCUUCUGGGAACCACUUCCUGCCUGGUGCCUUUUUCCAGAAACAAGCUAUAGAAACAGAGGAUGGAGAGCUGACGGGUACAGAGGAUGCAGAGUUUCGUAAUGAGGCAGAGACCCUGAAGUCCAGGGUUAGCUGGGACACGGAGAUGUGCUGCUUCCUGGAUGCAGGAGGGACAACCAGGCUACGGCAGAGGAUCACUGAGACCAGACUGUGGCCUGUUGAGAUCAUGAGGUCUUUGGUUCCACUGGCAAAGGUAGCAGAAACCUUGAAGCCAGGUGAGGAAAACCCAGAGAUCCCUUUUCAUGGGGUGGCGUUUGUGGACAUGGGGCAGCUGCUGUAUCCUGGAGUUACCCGCAUCAGAGGAGCGUACAGCAUUCAGCCGUUCUCUGAAGCCGAAUUACAGAACAAGGCCAAGCGGAGUGUCAGCGUGUUAAAGGAGCAGGUCAAGGCUGAAGCCAAUCUGGCCAAAACUCGUGCCAGCUCAUCUGCAGGUUCUCACAGGGGGAAGGCAGGGAAGACCUUAGAUGGAGGCAAAGGAGCCAAGGGACCCAAGGAGCAAGCCAAAAAGUUACCAAGAAAUCCGAGCAGGGUGAAUGGAGUCGACAGUGUGGCCCACAGCCCGACUGAAACUGAGCCGCCCAUCAAUUUGGAGAGGAAUAUGUAUUUGGAGGCCAGGACUUAUAUUAUCGUUGAGGUAGCCAUGGAGAAACCCUUGGUACCAAAGACUUCACCAGAGGAGCUGGCAAGAAGGGUGAAGGCUUUGAUUCCUCCCAGACCUCUGCAUCCACCAGGUCCUAGCAGAGCAGACAGAGCAGUGUUGGGCUUCCACAGGCAGGUAGGCAACGUGGUGAGCCAUGUUUCAGACCAGUAUAAUGAAUUGUUGGGAGAGACCCUGCCAUCAGAAGCAUGUAGCCGGGAGCAAAUGAUGGUUCAGCUGAUGGGAUCACUCAAUGUCUCUGGCAGAUACUUCGCCUUCAAGGAGCAGAUGAAGCCUGCAGUGGUAAGGAUUGUACGUGACAAGAUGCAGCGGACAGAGCCAUUCACUGACCCUCAGGAGCUCAGGGCUUUUGUCAGCAAGCUCUAUGUCUACCUGGUGGAUGAAAUGAAACAUGCUCUAAACAAGAUUUAUUCAGAUGACAUUGAUGAUGACUCCCAGGAUGAGAUCCAGUCGAGUUCUUCUCAGCUAAGACAUUUUGCCAGAGAGGCUCAGCUUACUGGGGAUUAUCAGCAGGCUGCUCACUACUACCAAGAGUUAGUGGCGAGACAUCCUCAUGAACCCUCACAUAAGUUUGAUUGGGGGAGGCUCUUCAUGCAGACAGGAGACUACAUGAAGGCUAAAGAGUGUUUCCAUGAUGCUGUCUCCAUCCAGCAGGCACAUCAGCCCAGCCUGAUGAUGUGUGGAGUGUUAGCAGCAAAGUACGAGAAAUAUGAAGAAGCCCAAACCUUCCUUGAGCGAGCCACAAGCACAGACCCUGAAAGUGUUGUAGCCUGGACACUGCUUGGUUUGAUUCAUGAAAGCCAGAACGAAUCCAUCCAGGCUGAGUUCGCUUUUCUGGAGGCCAGAAAGCUGCUGAGGGCAAAUGAAGCAAAGAAAGGAACACAGAGGGAGGAGGAGAAUAAAGACGAAAAGGAGAUAAAUGAGAAACUGAAGGACAAGCUUGAAGAAGGAGAGAUGACUGAGUCUAUUAAUGAUGUGCAAGACCCAGUGUGUGGAAACCAGGGCUCAGAGGUGCAAGGACAGCCUCCAGCACAGAGUGUCAUGCCCAGAACAGCUCACACCAAACUCUCCUCCAUUUACACAGAGACAGUUCAGUUCCUGCUGCAGAACUUUGCCCUGCAGAUGGCGGAGCGAGCUCUGUCCCAGGAGCUCCUGUGUUCAGACGGAGGUCACAGUUUUUCAUAUCUUCUUCAUGUUGCUCAGUGGCAGCUGCUCAGGGCUGACUACUGCAGUGCCACAGCCAGCCUGAGGGAGGCAAUGUCUUACAGAGACCAGGAUGCAGAUGCCUGGGCUCUGAAUGGUCACUGUCACUAUCUGAGUGGGGCAUCCACUGAUGCCAUGAAGAGCUACGAGCGAAGCCUGAACCUCCUAGAGCAGCCGCCAGACUCCCACCUUGUGCUCCUGCGCCUUGGAUCCAUCUACCUUCAGCAAGGGAAGUUUAAGAAAGCCAAAGCUGUCUACCUACAGGCUUGUGAGCAGUCUCCAUCCUGCCUGACCUGGCUGGGCUUGGGCACCACCUGUUACCGGUGAGCCAGCAAGUUUCAUCUGGAGGAACUAAGUGUCGCUGAGGAAGCUCUGACUGAGGCCAACCGUUUGAACAGCCAGAACUCAGAGGUGUGGGCUUACCUGUCUCUGAUCUGCCUGAGGGCUGGCAGAGCAGAGGAGGCAGAGCAGUAUCAAAAAUAUGCUACAAGGUUCAACCUGCAGAACAAGUCACUCCUGAAAGAGUUCAGUGACCUGAAGGAAAAGCUCCGCUUCAGUCAUCUGGAGGCAUGCUUUGCAGCAAGCUCCGAAGCAGGGAUUUGAAUCAUAUAUCCAAGUAUUUUUCCAAAAAUAACAACGAAAAAAGUCCAAAUAAACAACAUUUAAGGACAUUUUACUGUAUUUAAUGUAUUUAUAUGAGAAAUUGUUGUGACAAUACAACUCAGCCAGCUUAGAUGAAUCACUGGCCGAACCAUAAUACAGAAUCCUCUUUUAGAAGCAACAUUACAAACAAACUCAAAGCAACAUUUAUAUUUUUAAAAUGUAUAUAAAACAGGUAUGUGUUUAAAAAAAUGUACAACAUUAACAAAAAUAAAGAAAAGGGCAUGUGGUGAGUGGAAUCAA